UUGCCUCAGUAACGGCGAGUGAAGCGGCAAUAGCUCAAAUUUGAAAUCUGGCUCUUUUAGAGUCCGAGUUGUAAUUUGUAGAGGAUGCUUCGGCUUUCGUCCCGGUCUAAGUUCCUUGGAACAGGACGUCACAGAGGGUGAGAAUCCCGUUUGUGGCCGGCGACUUCCGCCAUGUGAAGCUCCUUCGACGAGUCGAGUUGUUUGGGAAUGCAGCUCUAAAUGGGAGGUAAAUUUCUUCUAAAGCUAAAUACCGGCCAGAGACCGAUAGCGCACAAGUAGAGUGAUCGAAAGAUGAAAAGCACUUUGGAAAGAGAGUUAAAAAGUACGUGAAAUUGUUGAAAGGGAAGCGCUUGCGACCAGACUUGCCCGCAGUUGCUCAGCCGUGUCCUUCGACCGGUGCACUCUUCUGCGGUCAGGCCAGCAUCAGUUCGGAUGGUUGGAUAAAGGCCUUUGGAAUGUAGCUCUCUUCGGGGAGUGUUAUAGCCUUUGGUGCAAUACAACCCACCUGGACUGAGGCCCGCGCUUCGGCUAGGAUGCUGGCGUAAUGGUCGUAAGCGGCCCGUCUUGAAACACGGACCAAGGAGUCUAACAUCUAUGCGAGUGUUUGGGUGUCAAACCCGUGCGCGAAAUGAAAGUGAACGGAGGUGGGAACCCUCGGGUGCACCAUCGACCGAUCCUGAUGUCUUCGGAUGGAUUUGAGUAAGAGCAUAGCUGUUGGGACCCGAAAGAUGGUGAACUAUGCCUGAAUAGGGUGAAGCCAGAGGAAACUCUGGUGGAGGCUCGCAGCGGUUCUGACGUGCAAAUCGAUCGUCAAAUUUGGGUAUAGGGGCGAAAGACUAAUCGAACC
rnacentral:rRNA from 1 species